GACGUAGGGGGCCAGCGUUGCUCGGAAUUACUGGGUGUAAAGGGUUCGUAGGCGGUGUGGCAAGUCGGGAGUGAAAUCUCUGGGCUCAACCCAGAGUCUGCUUCCGAAACUGCCGUGCUUGAGUGUGGGAGAGGCGCGUGGAAUUGCAGGUGUAGCGGUGAAAUGCGUAGAUAUCUGCAGGAACACCCGUGGCGAAGGCGGCGCGCUGGACCACUACUGACGCUGAGGAACGAAAGCUAGGGGAGCAAACAGG
rnacentral:rRNA from 1 species